rnacentral:tRNA from 1 species
GGGGACGUAGCUCAGUUGGCUAGAGCACCUGCUUUGCAAGCAGGGGGUCGUGGGUUCGAAUCCCAUCGUCUCCACCA